AUGGAUGAUGCAGCGCCGCCGGCGAGGGACUGGUCAUCACUGCCCCUUGAUGCGCUAUCCUCGAUCUUCGUUAGGCUCGGCGCCGUCAACGUCCUCAUGGGCGCCGGCCUCGUGUGUCGCUCCUGGCUCGAGGCGGCGAAUUUUCCAGACGUGUGGCGAUCCGUCGACAUGGAUAAAGACGAGGCCGUGUUCCUAAAGGCCGAUGCCGUCCUGCGCAAGAUGGCGAAGGUAGCCGUCGAUCGUUCCGACGGACAACUCAGGGUGUUCGUCGGGAGGAUGUUUGUCACCGAUGAUCUCAUCAAAUAUAUCAUGGAAAGGUCGCCCUUGCUGACUACCCUUCGACUUGUAUCAUGCUUCGGGGUCUUCAGCAAACAAGUUGCUAGUGUCAUAAAAGAAUCACCUCUGCUGGAGCUGCGUUCUCUUGAACUUGAAAACAUUGACCUCACCAUGAGAGAACUGACUGCUGUGCUUGAGAGUUGCCCUAACUUGGAGGUUCUUGGGUUGCGCUAUUGUUUCUUGAUCAACUCCAAUGAUGAGCGUACCUUGCGGGCAAAAUUCACCAGGAUCAAGACCAUGACGCUCAAGUGGGAUGAUGAGUGUUGUAUCGAUUAA
rnacentral:rRNA from 1 species